rnacentral:rRNA from 1 species
AGAGUUUGAUCCUGGCUCAGGAUGAACGCUGGCGGCGUGCCUAACACAUGCAAGUCGAGCGAUUACUUCGGUAAAGAGCGGCGGACGGGUGAGUAACGCGUGGGUAACCUGCCUCAUACACAUGGAUAACAUACCGAAAGGUAUGCUAAUACAGGAUAAUAUAAGAGAUUCACAUGGAUUUCUUAUCAAAGCUCCGGCGGUAUGAGAUGGACCCGCGUCUGAUUAGCUAGUUGGUAAGGUAAUGGCUUACCAAGGCGACGAUCAGUAGCCGACCUGAGAGGGUGAUCGGCCACAUUGGAACUGAGACACGGUCCAAACUCCUACGGGAGGCAGCAGUGGGGAAUAUUGCACAAUGGGCGAAAGCCUGAUGCAGCAACGCCGCGUGAGUGAUGAAGGCCUUCGGGUCGUAAAACUCUGUCCUCAAGGAAGAUAAUGACGGUACUUGAGGAGGAAGCCCCGGCUAACUACGUGCCAGCCGCUGC